ACACGGAUGGUGCAGUAGUGAGCAUACUCCCCUCCCAAGGGAGAGACAUGGGUGCAAAUCCCAUUUCGUGUA